rnacentral:rRNA from 1 species
GACGAACGCUGGCGGCGCGCUUAACACAUGCAAGUCGAGCGAAGCGGCGGACGGGUGAGUAACACGUGAGUAACCUGCCUUAGACAUUGGGAUAGCCUCGGUAAACCGGGAUUAAUACCAAAUGGUCUAAGAUGGACUCGCGUCCCAUUAGCUAGUUGGUGAGGUAACGGCCCACCAAGGCGACGAUGGAUAGCCGGCCAGAGAGGGUGAACGGCCACAUUGGAACUGAGAAACAGUCCAAACUCUACGGGAGGGAGCAGUGGGGAAUAUUGCACAAGGGAGUGAACGAUGAUGCAGCGAGGCCGCGUGAACGAAGAAGGCGUUCGAGUCGGAAAGUUCGUUGAUAUGGGAAGCGGUACCAGAAGAAAAAGCCCCGGCUAACUACGUGCCAGCCGCCGCGGUAAUUC